rnacentral:rRNA from 1 species
UGUGUAGGCGGUUCCUUAAGUUUGGUGUGAAAUCUCCCGGCUCAACCGGGAGGGUGCGCCGAAUACUGAGGGACUAGAGUGCGGGAGAGGAAAGUGGAAUUCCUGGUGUAGCGGUGAAAUGCGUAGAUAUCAGGAGGAACACCGGUGGUGUAGACGGCUUUCUGGACCGUAACUGACGCUGAGACACGAAAGCGUGGGUAGCAAACAGGAUUAGAUACCCUGGUAGUCCACGCCCUAAACGAUGCAUAUUUGGUGUGGGUCAUUCAGUUGAUCCGUGCCGGAGCUAACGCGUUUAAAUAUGCCGCCUGGGGGAUACAGUCGCAAGCUGAAA